rnacentral:rRNA from 1 species
UACGUAGGGUGCAGGCGUUAAUCGGAAUUACUGGGCGUAAAGCGUGCGCAGGCGGUCUUUUAAGUCAGACGUGAAAUCCCUCAGCUUAACUGGGGAACUGCGUGUGAUACUGGAUGGCUUGGAUUUGGGAGAGGGAUGCGGAAUUCCAGGUGUAGCGGUGAAAUGCGUAGAUAUCUGGAGGAACACCGGUGGCGAAGGCGGCAUCCUGGACCAAUAUUGACGCUGAGGAGCGAAAGCCAGGGGAGCAAACGGG